rnacentral:lncRNA from 1 species
UGGGUUCUUGAUUCUAUCAGCAGUAAUAGCUUUCCUUAUAUACAAAUGUGGUAAGCAUGAUAGUUCUUAAUGAAGUUGCAUUAGAAAACAGAUAGUAUGUCAAUAAAUCACAAUAUAGAGGUAAGUACAAAUAUUCCAAUCAUGAUGUCUUUGAUAAAUUAAAAUGAGAUGUGGUAGCAUGGUAACUAAAAUCAUCACCCUUUCUGGGGGAAAGAAGAACAUAUAACCUCACAAUUGUAUAACGCUAUAUUUUACAUCGUCGCCGCCGCAAACGAUGGCGGAACUCAUAAAUUUGAAAACCAUUUCAGAUGAAAGUAUUUCUCUCGACAACAGUUUGCGGAGGAUUUAUAGGAAAGAGGGACAAAAAAUACCUCAGGGACAGUCAAACUCAAAGAUCGAAAAUAAACUGACAACGUCAUGGCUAACAAAGAAAAAGACAAACAGACAAAUAAUAGUACACAAGGCAUAAUAUAAAAACUUAAGACUAAGCAACACGAACCCCACCAAAACUGGGGGUGAUGUCAGGUGCUCCGGAAAAUAUGACAUAUUAUUAGGAAGAGAGAUCAAAUGUGAUGUACCGGUAGAAGCCCGUGCUUAACAAGGGCAUCGUUUUUAUAGGUAUAGGAUGACAUUAUGUCACAUUUGCCAUAGAUUAGAAAUCUGCCAUUUUGCUAAACAAAUAAGCUUCAACGGGCAUAUUUCAAAAGUAAUUACUUUUCUGGUGACUCGUGGUUUGUCCGUUUCUUCUUUUGGUACAAAAUUGACUAUCAAGUCUGACUUUGAAUUAAGUGUUUGUUUUGACAACAUAUUGCAGCUUGCAAAUUCCACAAAUAAGAAUAUAAUGCUAUUUAUAUGAUUAUUUUUUUAAGUGAAGGAAAAGCUGUGUAAUAGUGAAUCUGAAAAUCCCACAGAAAGAGAAUUCGUGGAGAUGGUAUUAUCCUCAAAUGAGACAGACUCAUCUCCGAUGUUUGAUUUACCUUCAAAUGAGACUGGAGCAAUGCAGAUAUUAAAUUUACCUUCAAGGGAGGUAGAAUCAACUUCAAUGUUGCCUUGAAAUUGAAGCAGAAGCAACUCCAAUUGAGAGAAUGUCAAUGUCAAGUAUAAACAUUCCUCAAUUACAAUAAAUACUUUUAUCAAAGAGUAUAAAAUGAUUGAACAGAUAUUGAGAACUAAAUGGAUUUAACCAAAACAUGGGGUUUGUAUUGUAAAAUUUUAUAAAUACGUGUUCGAAAUGGUCUGUUUUCAAAUUCUUUCUUAUUUCUAAAUUUUACCACGAUUCUUAAGCUGAAUAGUAAAAAAGUCUGUUUGUCAUUAAGAUUUCAUAGUAUGAAUCAUUUCACUUCAUCUGCAUGAUGGGAGACGUUAGCAUAAGAGUGAGAAAUUUCCCUUAAAAACAUCUUAUAUCAUUCGUUAUUUGCGCUUUUCUUGGACGUAGAAUGUUUGUAUUCUACUGAUUGAAUUUGAUAGUUUUUUUUUCAUUUUUUUGUCUUCUGCAUGCUGCUUCUAAAUAUUUAUCACCCACAUUCCCUAGUAACAUGAACGGUACCAAUUGUUCUGCGCCAGAUUAGAUAAAGGCCUCUUCGGUGGUGAUGAAGGCCAAACUAUUUGCUAAUCAAAAGCUUAUUUAAAAAAAAUAAAGAGCUUAUAAACCAGAAAAGAAAACUAUAGUAAACUUGGACCAGUUUAGCAUUACAGCAGAUAAGAUAUAUCUUUUUUCUCUGUAACUGGCCAACCAUUUUCAUAGAAUAGUUUUCUAUUUAUAAGGAUAACAAUCACACUUUGCAGAUCAAAACACUGUAGUAUAUUAUCAUCGUAAAGCUGUGCACGGGUUUAUUACGGGGAUGUUUUCAUUUUCAUUAGUUAAUUGAUUAUAAACAACGCUUUCUUUUAAAAAAAAAAUUUUAACAGAACAUCUUAUAUUGUAUUGUGUUUUUCAGUUAGACGAAACAAUUGGAAUUUAAUUGGUUCGAUAUUUGAUAUCGUAGUGAAUACAACGGACUGCAGUUUGAUGAAAACACAAAGAACUAGCUAGAAUAGAUAUUACUCUUAAGAAAUUGUAAUGAGUCAAUACUCAGUGGUUUUACAAGGUGGGAGACGAUACAGCAUAAGAGAAUAUUGAAGAGAAUUGUCUUUCAUCAGCCUGUCCACUUAAAUUGUCAUUUUUCCAGCCAAUAUUAUCAGACAGAACUCAGGGAUUUUUGUGUUUUUUUAUUAUUAUCUUUUAUUAUCUCCGAUUAAUUUUCAUGUUUUCAUUGUUAUUUCUUGUUGUUUGUUCUAGUCUCUUUAUAUUACAAAA